GACGAACGCUGGCGGCGUGCUUAACACAUGCAAGUCGAACGGAAAGGCCCUGCUUUUGUGGGGUGCUCGAGUGGCGAACGGGUGAGUAACACGUGAGUAACCUGCCCUUGACUUUGGGAUAACUUCAGGAAACUGGGGCUAAUACCGGAUAGGAGCUCCUGCUGCAUGGUGGGGGUUGGAAAGGUUCGGCGGUUGGGGAUGGACUCGCGGCUGAUCAGCUUGUUGGUGGGGUAGUGGCUUACCAAGGCUUUGACGGGUAGCCGGCCUGAGAGGGUGACCGGCCACAUUGGGACUGAGAUACGGCCCAGAGUCCUACGGGAGGCAGCAGUGGGGAAUAUUGCACAAUGGGCGGAAGCCUGAUGCAGCAACGCCGCGUGCGGGAUGACGGCCUUCGGGUUGUAAACCGCUUUCGCCUGUGACGAAGCGUGAGUGACGGUAAUGGGUAAAGAAGCACCGGCUAACUACGUG
rnacentral:rRNA from 1 species